rnacentral:rRNA from 2 species
CACGGGGGUUGCAAGCGUUGUCCGGAAUUACUAGGCGUAAAGGGCAGGUAGGCGGAUCCAUAAGUUUGAUGUUAAAGGCAGCGGCUCACCCGCUGUAGGGCAUUAGAUACUGUGGAUCUGGAAUACGGUUGGGGAAGACAGAAUUCCUGGUGUAGCGGUGGAAUGCGCAGAGAUCAGGAGGAAUACCAAAGGCGAAGGCAGUCUUCUAAGCCGUUAUUGACGCUAAACUGCGAAGGUGUGGGUAUCAAAC